AUUGAACGCUGGCGGCAGGCCUAACACAUGCAAGUCGAGCGGAUGAAGGGCGUUUGCUCCUGGCUUCAGCGGCGGACGGGUGAGUAAUGCCUAGGAACCUGCCUGGAAGUGGGGGAUAACGUCCGGAACCGGGCGCUAAUACCGCAUACGUCCCGUGGGAGAAAGUGGGGGAUCUUCGGCCCUCACGUUCACAGAUGAGCCUACGUCGGAUUAGCUUGUUGGUGGGGUAAAGGCCUACCAAGGCGUCGAUCCGUAACUGGUCUGAGAGGAUGAUCAGUCACACUGGAACUGGGACACGGUCCAUGCUCCUACGGGAGGCAGCAGUGGGGAAUAUUAGACAGUGGUCGAGAGCCUGAUCCAGCCAUGCCGCGUGUGUUAAGAAGGUCUUCGGAUUGUAAAGCACUUUAAGUUGGGAGGAAGCGCAGUAAGUUAAUACCUUGCUAUUGUGACGUUACCAACAGAAUAAGCACCGGCUAACUUCGUG
rnacentral:rRNA from 1 species